CCUACGGGCGGCAGCAGUGGGGAAUAUUGGACAAUGGGCGAGAGCCUGAUGCAGCAAAGCCGCGUGAGGGAUGACGGCCUUCGGGUCGGAAAACUCUGUCCUCAAGGAAGAUAAUGACGGUACUUGAGGAGGAAGCCCCGGCUAACUACGUGCCAGCAGCCGCGGUAAUACGUAGGGGGCUAGCGUUAUCCGGAUUUACUGGGCGUAAAGGGUGCGUAGGCGGUCUUUCAAGUCAGGAGUGAAAGGCUAGGGCUCAACCGUAGUAAGCUCUUGAAACUGGGAGACUUGAGUGCAGGAGAGGAGAGUGGAAUUCGUAGAGUAGCGGUGAAAUGCGUAGAUAUUAGGAGGAACACCAGUUGCGAAGGCGGCUCUCUGGACUGUAACUGACGCUGAGGCACGAGAGCGUGGGGAGCAAACAGGAUUAGAUACCCGAGUAGUC
rnacentral:rRNA from 1 species